rnacentral:rRNA from 1 species
GACGAACGCUGGCGGCGUGCUUCACACAUGCAAGUCGAACGAGGUCCAUCCAGUGGCAACACUGGUGAAGAUCUAGUGGCGAACGGGUGCGUAACACGUGAGGAACCUACCCCGAUCUCAGGAAUAACAGUGGGAAACCACUGCUAAUACCAGAUGCCUUCCCCAGGUUGCAUGGCUUGGCGAAGAAAGGGUUACCGGAUCGGGACGGCCUCGCGGCCUAUCAGCUUGUUGGCGGGGUAACGGCCCACCAAGGCGUCGACGGGUAGCUGGUCUGAGAGGAUGAUCAGCCACACUGGGACUGAGACACGGCCCAGACUCCUACGGGAGGCAGCAGUGGGGAAUCUUGCGCAAUGGGCGAAAGCCUGACGCAGCAACGCCGCGUGGGGGAUGAAGGCCCUCGGGUUGUAAACCCCUUUCAGCAGGAACGAAUCUGACGGUACCUGCAGAAGAAGGCCCGGCCAACUACGUGCCAGCAGCCGCGGUAAUACGUAGGGGCCAAGCGUUGUCCGGAUUUAUUGGGCGUAAAGAGCUCGUAGGCGGUUGGGUAAGUCGGGUGUGAAAACUCCAGGCUCAACUUGGAGAUGCCACCCGAUACUGCUCUGACUUGAGUUCGGUAGGGGAGUGGGGAAUUCCUGGUGUAGCGGUGAAAUGCGCAGAUAUCAGGAGGAACACCGGUGGCGAAGGCGCCACUCUGGGCCGAAACUGACGCUGAGGAGCGAAAGCGUGGGUAGCAAACAGGAUUAGAUACCCUGGUAGUCCACGCCGUAAACGUUGGGCACUAGGUGUGGGCCCUAACCAACGGGGUCCGUGCCGUAGCUAACGCAUUAAGUGCCCCGCCUGGGGAGUACGGCCGCAAGGUUAAAACUCAAAGGAAUUGACGGG